CAGAACGACGCUGGCGGCAUGCCUAACACAUGCAAGUCGAACGGGAUCCGGUCUUCGGUCCGGUGAGAGUGGCGGACGGGUGAGUAACACGUGGGAACCUGCCUUUUGGUUCGGGAUAACCGCGGGAAACUGCGGCUAAUACCGGAUACUCCCGAGAGGGGAAAGAUUUAUCGCCAGAAGAGGGGCCCGCGUCCGAUUAGGUAGUUGGUGGGGUAAUGGCCUACCAAGCCGACGAUCGGUAGCUGGUCUGAGAGGAUGAUCAGCCACACUGGGGACUGAGAUACGGCCCAGACUCCUACGGGAGGCAGCAGUGGGGAAUAUUGGACAAUGGGGGCAACCCUGAUCCAGCAAUGCCGCGUGAGUGAUGAAGGCCUUAGGGUUGUAAAGCUCUUUUGCCAGGGAAGAUGAUGACUGUACCUGGAGAAUAAGCCCCGGCUAACUUCGUG
rnacentral:rRNA from 1 species